CAGCAGCCGCGGUAAAACGUAGGUGGCAAGCGUUGUCCGGAAUUAUUGGGCGUAAAGGGCUCGCAGGCGGUUUCUUAAGUCUGAUGUGAAAGCCCCCGGCUCAACCGGGGAGGGUCAUUGGAAACUGGGAAACUUGAGUGCAGAAGAGGAGAGUGGAAUUCCACGUGUAGCGGUGAAAUGCGUAGAGAUGUGGAGGAACACCAGUGGCGAAGGCGACUCUCUGGUCUGUAACUGACGCUGAGGAGCGAAUGCGUGGGGAGCAAACAGGAUUAGAGACCCCUGUAGUCCCUGUCUCUUAUAC
rnacentral:rRNA from 1 species